rnacentral:rRNA from 1 species
UUAAGCGACUAAGCGUACACGGUGGAUGCCCUGGCAGUCAGAGGCGAUGAAGGACGUGCUAAUCUGCGAAAAGCGUCGGUAAGGUGAUAUGAACCGUUAUAGCCGGCGAUGUCCGAAUGGGGAAACCCAGUGCAAUUCGUUGCACUAUCGUUAACUGAAUACAUAGGUUAACGAGGCGAACCGGGGGAACUGAAACAUCUAAGUACCCCGAGGAAAAGAAAUCAACCGAGAUUCCCCCAGUAGCGGCGAGCGAACGGGGAGCAGCCCAGAGUCUGAAUCAGCUUGUGUGUUAGUGGAACGGUCUGGAAAGUCCGACGGUACAGGGUGAUAGUCCCGUACACCAAAAUGCACAGGCUGUGAACUCGAAGAGUAGGGCGGGACACGUGGUAUCCUGUCUGAAUAUGGGGGGACCAUCCUCCAAGGCUAAAUACUCCUGACUGACCGAUAGUGAACCAGUACCGUGAGGGAAAGGCGAAAAGAACCCCGGCGAGGGGAGUGAAAAAGAACCUGAAACCGUGUACGUACAAGCAGUGGGAGCACCUUCGGGUGUGACUGCGUACCUUUUGUAUAAUGGGUCAGCGACUUAUAUUCUGUAGCAAGGUUAACCGUAUAGGGGAGCCGCAGGGAAACCGAGUCUUAACUGGGCGUUAAGUUGCAGGGUAUAGACCCGAAACCCGGUGAUCUAGCCAUGGGCAGGUUGAAGGUUGGGUAACACUAACUGGAGGACCGAACCGACUAAUGUUGAAAAAUUAGCGGAUGACUUGUGGCUGGGGGUGAAAGGCCAAUCAAACCGGGAGAUAGCUGGUUCUCCCCGAAAGCUAUUUAGGUAGCGCCUCGUGAAUUCAUCUUCGGGGGUAGAGCACUGUUUCGGCUAGGGGGUCAUCCCGACUUACCAACCCGAUGCAAACUACGAAUACCGAAGAAUGUUAUCACGGGAGACACACGGCGGGUGCUAACGUCCGUCGUGAAGAGGGAAACAACCCAGACCGCCAGCUAAGGUCCCAAAGUCAUGGUUAAGUGGGAAACGAUGUGGGAAGGCACAGACAGCCAGGAUGUUGGCUUAGAAGCAGCCAUCAUUUAAAGAAAGCGUAAUAGCUCACUGGUCGAGUCGGCCUGCGCGGAAGAUGUAACGGGGCUAAACCAUGCACCGAAGCUGCGGCAGCGACACUAUGUGUUGUUGGGUAGGGGAGCGUUCUGUAAGCCUGCGAAGGUGUGCUGUGAGGCAUGCUGGAGGUAUCAGAAGUGCGAAUGCUGACAUAAGUAACGAUAAAGCGGGUGAAAAGCCCGCUCGCCGGAAGACCAAGGGUUCCUGUCCAACGUUAAUCGGGGCAGGGUGAGUCGACCCCUAAGGCGAGGCCGAAAGGCGUAGUCGAUGGGAAACAGGUUAAUAUUCCUGUACUUGGUGUUACUGCGAAGGGGGGACGGAGAAGGCUAUGUUAGCCGGGCGACGGUUGUCCCGGUUUAAGCAUGUAGGCUGGUUGUCCAGGCAAAUCCGGAUAAUCAAGGCUGAGGUGUGAUGACGAGGCACUACGGUGCUGAAGUAACAAAUGCCCUGCUUCCAGGAAAAGCCUCUAAGCAUCAGGUAACAUCAAAUCGUACCCCAAACCGACACAGGUGGUCAGGUAGAGAAUACCAAGGCGCUUGAGAGAACUCGGGUGAAGGAACUAGGCAAAAUGGUGCCGUAACUUCGGGAGAAGGCACGCUGGUGUGUAGGUGAAGCCCCUGCGGGUGGAGCUGAGACCAGUCGAAGAUACCAGCUGGCUGCAACUGUUUAUUAAAAACACAGCACUGUGCAAACACGAAAGUGGACGUAUACGGUGUGACGCCUGCCCGGUGCCGGAAGGUUAAUUGAUGGGGUUAUCCGUAAGGAGAAGCUCUUGAUCGAAGCCCCGGUAAACGGCGGCCGUAACUAUAACGGUCCUAAGGUAGCGAAAUUCCUUGUCGGGUAAGUUCCGACCUGCACGAAUGGCGUAAUGAUGGCCAGGCUGUCUCCACCCGAGACUCAGUGAAAUUGAACUCGCUGUGAAGAUGCAGUGUACCCGCGGCAAGACGGAAAGACCCCGUGAACCUUUACUAUAGCUUGACACUGAACAUUGAGCCUUGAUGUGUAGGAUAGGUGGGAGGCUUUGAAGCGUGGACGCCAGUCUGCGUGGAGCCAACCUUGAAAUACCACCCUUUAAUGUUUGAUGUUCUAACGUUGGCCCCUGACCGGGGUUGCGGACAGUGUCUGGUGGGUAGUUUGACUGGGGCGGUCUCCUCCCAAAGCGUAACGGAGGAGCACGAAGGUUAGCUAAUCCUGGUCGGACAUCAGGAGGUUAGUGCAAUGGCAUAAGCUAGCUUGACUGCGAGCGUGACGGCGCGAGCAGGUGCGAAAGCAGGUCAUAGUGAUCCGGUGGUUCUGAAUGGAAGGGCCAUCGCUCAACGGAUAAAAGGUACUCCGGGGAUAACAGGCUGAUACCGCCCAAGAGUUCAUAUCGACGGCGGUGUUUGGCACCUCGAUGUCGGCUCAUCACAUCCUGGGGCUGAAGUAGGUCCCAAGGGUAUGGCUGUUCGCCAUUUAAAGUGGUACGCGAGCUGGGUUUAGAACGUCGUGAGACAGUUCGGUCCCUAUCUGCCGUGGGCGCUGGAGAAUUGAGGGGGGCUGCUCCUAGUACGAGAGGACCGGAGUGGACGCAUCACUGGUGUUCGGGUUGUCAUGCCAAUGGCACUGCCCGGUAGCUAAAUGCGGAAGAGAUAAGUGCUGAAAGCAUCUAAGCACGAAACUUGCCCCGAGAUGAGUUCUCCCUGAGACUUUAAGUCUCCUGAAGGAACGUUAAAGACGAUGACGUUGAUAGGCCGGGUGUGUAAGCGCAGCGAUGCGUUGAGCUAACCGGUACUAAUGAACCGUGAGGCUUAACCUU